UUUUCACCUGUUUACCACUGAGAGUUGUUUCAUCCUCAUCAUAAUGAUUGUAACCAAGUGAUCAACGUUUCCCACUCCAAAUUUUAUAAAUAAUUAAAUUGUAUUUUAAGAAAUAUUCGAGCUUGUUGCUUGGUGCUCCAAGCUCGUGGUUAUAAUCUUAUUUGCUUUCUUUUUUGAACCUUUUUAAUUACUUCUGAUUUAUAUUUAUAAUUGAUUGUAUGUUGGGAAGUAACGACACGUGUUUCUGUUCUUCCAAGAAUACGAAAGUGAUCAAUUCACUUGAUAUAGUUGAGUUGAAACACGUGUCGCUACACAAUAAAAUUAUAAGGAGUCAAAAAAGCAAAAAAAAGAAGGAUAAGAUAUUAUUUAAUUAAUACACUGAUUGAUUACGAAAUGGAUUGUUAUUCAACAAAAAUUAGAAAGUGUAAAAUUAACAAGACUUUUAAUCGUACUUUGAUAACGUAUAUAACACCAGCCAAAAUCGAAGGCCACGUAUAACUCACCUGAAAAAACACCUAAUACAAGUAGCAUUAUAUUUGCAAGUAUAUUUGACCUUUUGACCGUCUGCAAGUUGUACUUGCAAGUCAUAGUGAGCAUUACAUUUCAAAACAUAUAAGAGGCCAAGGCUGUUGAGGAAAUAUUGUAGUUUGCAGUAGACUCAUAAGAAGACAAAUUCAGUCUGUACUCCAGUUGCUUUAUAUUACAUUUAAAAUGCCUUGUCCCUUUUUAAAUAAGUUGAGUGCUAAUUAUGUUCGAACCUAUGCUUUAAAUUUGUUAAAAACAUAUGGAAAUCAAUGUCCAGUUAUGUCUAGAACUUUCACUUCUCUUGAGGAUGUGCAAGUAAAAGAAAAUAGAAAAGAAAGUGAAGUCAAAAAAAAUUCCAAAUGCCCAUUUUUAUCAGAACUUGACAAGUUAAUGAUUAAAGAAGUAACUGAAGAUGAUACAAUUGAUAUUGGUGAUCAAAAGAAGUAUAUAUUUCCAUAUGAAAACUUUUUCCAUGACCAAAUAAU